rnacentral:rRNA from 1 species
CACAGCGAUGUGAUGCCAAUCCCUAAAGCCCCUCUCAGUUCGGAUCGAAGUCUGCAACCCGACUUCGUGAAGCUGGAUUCGCUAGUAAUCGCGCAUCAGCCACGGCGCGGUGAAUACGUUCCCGGGCCUUGUACACACCGCCCGUCAAGCCAUGGGAGCCGGGGGUACCUGAAGUACGUAACCGCAAGGAGCGUCCUAGGGUAAAACUGGUGACUGGGGCUAAGUCGUAACAAGGUACC